UACGGAGGGUGCAAGCGUUAUCCGGAUUCACUGGGUUUAAAGGGUGCGUAGGCGGACAGGUAAGUCAGUGGUGAAAUCUCCGAGCUUAACUCGGAAACUGCCUUUGAUACUCUCUGUCUUGAAUAUGGUGGAGGUAAGUGGAAUAUGUCAUGUAGCGGUGAAAUGCUUAGAGAUGACAUAGAACACCUAUUGCGAAGGCAGCUUACUACGCCUAUAUUGACGCUGAGGCACGAAAGCGUGGGGAUCAAACAGG
rnacentral:rRNA from 1 species